UCUACGCAUCAAUUUCUCCAACAAAAUCUGCUGCGUUAGUUAGUCCUUUACAGUAUAUUUAAUAGCGGAAAGGUUUGCCGCUAUAUUCUUUGGUUGAUAAUGAACCAAUAUUAUUCUACUGUGCCAUCAUGAGUGAAUGUUGUUUGUAUGCUGUACGUGAGGAUCACGAAAAAACCACGUCGGGUUCAUCCUACCUGUAUAGCAUACACGCGUAGUAGUCUACCGUAUUGUGAAACACAAUAGGACAUAUUAAGACGAUAAAUUAUCCAACAAUUAGUGUGUGGAUUAUUACAUGUAUCCUUCGAACUAUGCAUAAUGAGAAAAGCAACUACUACUAUAUAAUGGUGUUUAAAAAGUGACCUAGAAUAUUUAUUUCGAAAACAAACAGAAAAAGCGUGUUUCUUUUUUUUCUCUCCGCGGUAGCCUGGCCUGGGCCGUUAUGCGAAGAGCCUUUCCGAAGCCAUGGUGUUUUCAUUUGCUCAUAUUCGAUCACAGACGGAUCAGCCUCGGCUUCAUUGGGGGUUUAUCGUGCGGAAAGCACAAUGCUACCUUCAUAGAAGUGGCACCUAAUUUACGACCAACAUCAGCCCGGUUGGAAUACUGGUGUCCAAAAACGUACACAUCGUAGCGUCAAAAAGAUGAAGAAUCCAACAAUAAUGCAAUCGAAGCCGCUGUGGAAUGGCCUCGUAAAAUGUGCUGUGAAUUUCGUUGUGCAGUGAAUGGAGUUUUGCCUCGAGCUCGGCUUCCAAAGCAGAUGUUCUCCGUGAAAGUAAAUCACGUUUACGCCACGUGCUCUAUUUCGCCUUUCGCGAAUAUCGGACAGCUGCCAAAGCAGCCUGGAAUAUUUAUGCCUAUACGGGACGGACUCUGUAUUUGAAAGGACUGCUCAGAGCUCAAGUUCAGCAACUCUCCGUCCAAGGCACAUACGAGGCCCAAAGCUGAAGGGAAGAGAGGCGUAAGCGUG
rnacentral:lncRNA from 1 species